UAGGGAAUCUUCGGCAAUGGGGGGAACCCUGACCGAGCAACGCCGCGUGAGUGAAGAAGGUUUUCGGAUCGUAAAGCUCUGUUGUUAAGGAAGAACGAGUGUGAGAAUGGAAAGUUCAUGCUGUGACGGUACUUAACCAGAAAGGGACGGCUAACUACGUGCCAGCAGCCGCGGUAAUACGUAGGUGGCAAGCGUUGUCCGGAUUUAUUGGGCGUAAAGCGAGCGCAGGCGGUCAAUUAAGUCUGAUGUGAAAGCCCCCGGCUCAACCGGGGAGGGUCAUUGGAAACUGUUUAACUUGAGUGCAGAAGGGGAGAGUGGAAUUCCAUGUGUAGCGGUGAAAUGCGUAGAUAUAUGGAGGAACACCGGUGGCGAAAGCGGCUCUCUGGUCUGUAACUGACGCUGAGGCUCGAAAGCGUGGGGAGCGAACAGG
rnacentral:rRNA from 1 species